GGAAUGAAGGGAUUGGAACCCGCUCCAACAUGCAGGUCUCGGCUCCACCUUCUACCUCCACAGCGUGCAAGGACUGAGUGUGAGCUCCAGGCAAUCCUUCUCCUCCCUAAAAUUCACAAAACUCCUUUCCACAUUUUUCUGUUAUAGACACUCGGAUUUCUUCUUCUUCAUAGUCAUCGAAGUUGCUGGUAUCGCCAGAGCCUCUGAAUUUUGGUAUGAAUGGAGCCUCAACCUUUCUCUGGUAAAUCGCGAUCCAGUCGGUCGUAGCAAACCACUUGUGGGUCUUGAUGUCACUCACGCCAUUCUUCAGGUUCCCAAACCGCUUUGUCAGAUCCACCUGCAGCAGAUUCCGCAGAAGGUCCUUGAGAUCGGAACUGAAGUGC
rnacentral:lncRNA from 1 species